CGACAGAUGCGGUAUUGUUUAGAUGGGUGGUUUGAAUAGUUCGUCCAGAGAAAAUUGUUUAUAGAAAAGAGAUUUGGCGAAAUAUGGUGCUUGUUUAUUGCUGUGAUGGAUACAUCCAAGACAAUUAUUGCGGCUUCAUCAGUGGGGUGUAUUUUUGUUUCAUUCAAUGUCUGAUCUGAUUAUAAACAUAACCACAGGGACGGCACAUCGAUUGGUGACGAGCAGGACGGGGCCAACAAGCCUAGGAGGAGGAGGAGCUCCAUCCGCAGCAGCUCAUGCUCAUGGAGGAACAAGUCUGAAUCGUUGCUGUUACUCUGCUGUCCUGGAGUCACCAUCCACAGUAGCCGUGGUGUGGCUGAGCCUCUGCUACGGCUACAACCUCCCUCUGGUGAGCUCCUCCCUGUUCCUUCUUCUCUGAUGUAGCUCCUGCAUGGCCUUGGCCAUGAUUUGGGUUGGAUGUGGGGCUCUACUAGUUGCUGCUAGAUGUUGUAACCAAGCAUCAACUCCUACUGGAGCUCUCUGGUGAUAAAUUCAUGCGGUUCUAGGGUCUGUCAGUAGCUGCCCAUGUGUACUUGCUUUAUAUAUAUGCUCCUAUGAUGCUCUAGUGAUAUGGGGUGGCUAAUAUCAAGAUCAUGUUGGUGUUGAUGCUUAUCUUGCAUGUCUCUGGUGGUGGUGGUGUUGACAGCAGUUACACACCUAGCUUGUAACUAAUAUCAUUACUGCUAAUUUACCUCAAGUUUAUCUGAACAUGGUUGAAAUGAGCGCUGCAAAUUUUGAUGUCUAAAAUCAAUUUUUACCCCAAGUCCUUAAGUAAUUAUUUUCAUUACAUCACAGUUAGCUGAGAAUAUUGACUUGAAUAUUUUAUGUAUGCCCUGAUGCAUGUACACAUACGGUUGAGCAAAUACCGAGCUGCAGUGGAACAACCUGGAGUUAGAGAACUUCAAGGACAAGAUCAACGAGGUGACCGGCGUUAUGGCGGCUGUGUACGGUGGCGACCACAAGUUCUUCGAUGCUAGGCUUUCAUGUUUCUUCGUGAGCAUCAGGACAAAGAAGUCGGAGGUAGAAUAGUUCUAGCUCAUUGGAGCUAGUUCUGAGAGUAAUGAAGCCCUUUCUGCUGCUCCUAUUUGUAUGUGUGUUAUAUGAUGUAGCAGAAUCUGGCUCAUGUGAUUGUACACUUGUGGAGCUUGUUAUCUAAUUGUAAACUUGAUGCUGAUCACAUUUGUAUGUGUGUUAUAUGAUGUAACGCUUUGAUGGUUGAUAAUA